rnacentral:lncRNA from 1 species
UUGCACAUUCCCAGCAGAACAUUUUCCACAAGCAGUUGCAGUUGUUGUUGCUCCUCUUCUUCUUCUUCGUCGGCGGCGAAAAUGCAUUCGAGUCACUUGCUUCUGGAAGAGCCGAUCAGGAUGGCUUCGAUCCUCGAGCCUUCCAAGCCUGUGAGUAAUUCCGAUCACUUUAACUCUUCCGUUUCUUUGAAUUAGUUGGAUAGUUAGUUAAUUUUCAGUUUCUGAUUGAGAAGAGAGAGAGAGAGAGCCAAUUAAUUGCUUUUGUUUCUUCAGCAAGUAACCAAGUUGCAGUGUGUUUGUUUCCCGAGAAAGUGAAGGAUUGGAUGGGAAAAAAAAACAACACCUGGAUUUCCUCCUUGUACUACCUAUUUGGCUGUUUCUUAAAAUUAAAUUGUAGCAAGUAUAAAUCAACUCUCUGUGUUUGUGGGUUUGGAUGGAGUCUGUAUUUCCUUCUUGCAUCUUAGUUCUUAUCAUGUGUUUGGUUUAUGAGAAAAUGUGAUAAUCAGGAGGGUGUCAUAUUUCUUAUUAGAGAAAUCUUUACUUAGCAAUCAAACAGAAUAUUAUUGUUUCCGAAAUAUUCUCGGAAUUUCGGUGGGUUAUUAGGUGAAUAUGUGGCCGUAGUGAUUUGAAAGAACUUGAAUGCGUGACUAACCUUGAUGAAUUCUGAACUUACAGACAUUCUUUCCGGCAAUGACAAGGAUUGUGGGAACGCUU